GAUGAACGCUGGCGGCGUGCCUAAUACAUGCAAGUCGAGCGAACAGACGAGGAGCUUGCUCCUCUGACGUUAGCGGCGGACGGGUGAGUAACACGUGUAUAACCCCCUUAUAAGACUGGUAUCAUUUCGGGAAACCGGCGCUAAUCCCGUAUAAUAUAUUGCACCGCAUGGUUCAAUAGUGAAUGACGGCUUUGCUGUCUCUUCUCGAGGGAUCCGGGCCGUAUUAGCUAGUUGGUAAGGUAACGGGUUACCACGGGGAGGAGGCGUAGCCGACGUGAGAGGGUGGUAGGCGGCACGGGAACGUGGACACGGUCCAGGCGCCUACGGGAGGGAGCAGUAGGGAAUGGUCCGCAAUGGGCGAAAGUCUGACGGAGCGAGGCCGAGUGAGUGGUGAAGGUCUUGGGAGCGUAAAGCUCUGUUAUUAGGGAAGAACAAAUGUGUAAGUAACUAUACACGUAUUGACGGUACCUAAUAAGAAAGCAACGGCUAACUACGUG
rnacentral:rRNA from 1 species